GGUUAAUGGCACAUGUGGGGUUAAGAAAGUGACUGAAAGGCACUCGGUGUAAUUGUGUGGGCAAAGGCACCCAACGCAUAACAGGGGGGUUUAAUCCCUUAAGGACACAUGACAUGUGUGACAUGUCAUGAUUCCCUUUUAUUCCAGAAGUUUGGUCCUUAAGGGGUUAAAGGUCCACAAAGGGUAAGAAAAGUUAAAAAGGCAGUCAACAGUUAAAAAC